rnacentral:rRNA from 1 species
CCCUUAGAUGUUCUGGGCCGCACGCGCGCUACACUGACGAAUGCAACGAGCUUAUAACCUUGGCCGAAAGGUCUGGGUAAUCUCCAAAUUUCGUCGUGAUGGGGAUAGAUUAUUGCAAUUAUUAAUCUUCAACGAGGAAUGCCUAGUAAGCGCAAGUCAUCAGCUUGCGUUGAUUACGUCCCUGCCCUUUGUACACACCGCCCGUCGCUCCUGCCGAUUGAAUGGUCCGGUGAAGCGUUCGGACCGUGGCCUUUGGACGGUUCGCCGUCUGUUGGCUGCGGGAAGUUCGUUAAACCUUAUCAUUUAGAGGAAGGAGAANUCGUANCA